UCCUGGCUCAGAGUGAACGCUGGCGGUAGGCUUAACACAUGCAAGUCGAACGGCAGCACAGUAAGAGCUUGCUCUUAUGGGUGGCGAGUGGCGGACGGGUGAGGAAUACAUCGGAAUCUACCUUUUCGUGGGGGAUAACGUAGGGAAACUUACGCUAAUACCGCAUACGACCUUCGGGUGAAAGCAGGGGACCUUCGGGCCUUGCGCGGAUAGAUGAGCCGAUGUCGGAUUAGCUAGUUGGCGGGGUAAAGGCCCACCAAGGCGACGAUCCGUAGCUGGUCUGAGAGGAUGAUCAGCCACACUGGAACUGAGACACGGUCCAGACUCCUACGGGAGGCAGCAGUGGGGAAUAUUGGACAAUGGGCGCAAGCCNNAUCCAGCCAUACCGCGUGGGUGAAGAAGGCCUUCGGANNNUANGUUGUAAAGCCCUUUUGUUGGGAAAGAAAAGCAGUCGGCNAAUACCCGGUUGUUCUGACGGUACCCAAAGAAUAAGCACCGGCUAACUUCGUGCCAGCAGCC
rnacentral:rRNA from 1 species